rnacentral:rRNA from 1 species
UACGAAGGGGGCUAGCGUUGUUCGGAUUUACUGGGCGUAAAGCGCACGUAGGCGGUUUGUUAAGUCAGGGGUGAAAUCCCGGAGCUCAACUCCGGAACUGCCUUUGAUACUGGCAGCUAGAGUCCGGAAGAGGUAAGUGGAACUCCUAGUGUAGAGGUGGAAUUCGUAGAUAUUAGGAAGAACACCAGUGGCGAAGGCGGCUUACUGGUCCGGA